rnacentral:rRNA from 1 species
UACGUAGGUGGCAAGCGUUACUCGGAAUCACUAGGCGUAAAGCGCAGGUAGGAGGUUUGGUAAGUCUCUUGUGAAAGCUCCCGGCUUAACUGGGAGAGGUCAAGGGAAACUACUAGGCUAGAGUGCGGUAGAGGUAGCUGGAAUUCCCGGUGUAGCGGUGAAAUGCGUAGAUAUCGGGAGGAAUACCUAUGGCGAAAGCAGGCUACUGGACCGUCACUGACUCUGAUCUGCGAAAGCUAGGGGAGCAAACAGG